rnacentral:rRNA from 1 species
GUGCCAGCCGCCGCGGUAAUACGUAGGUGGCAAGCGUUGUCCGGAAUUACUGGGCGUAAAGAGCGCGUAGGCGGGAAUUUAAGUCAGGAGUGAAAACUGGCGGCUCAACCGCCAGCCUGCUCUUGAAACUGGAUUUCUUGAGGGUAUGAGAGGAAAGCGGAAUUCCCAGUGUAGCGGUGAAAUGCGUAGAUAUUGGGAGGAACACCAGUGGCGAAGGCGGCUUUCUGGCAUACAACUGACGCUGAGGCGCGAAAGCGUGGGGAGCAAACGGGAUUAGAUACCCUGGUAGUCC